rnacentral:rRNA from 1 species
GCUUUCGGCACAGCAAUUCCUUCACACCGAGUUACCUCGAGAGUUGUUCCCAGUCUACAAAAAGGGGCACAGGUGGUUAAAGUUGGUGGCAAGCGUGCACAUGUCCCGAAGGACCAGCAGCAGCUGACCAAGUUUAUUCAAUAAUGAUCCUUCCGUAGGUGACACAACGUGGCGGUAGGAUCAUUAUUGAAUAACUUUUAUUUUGGGGUCAAGCUGCUGCUGGUUCUUGGGGACAUUUUGUACGCUUGCCACCAACUUUAACCACCUGUGGACCUUUUGUAGACUGGGAACAACUCUCGAGGUAACUCGGUGUGAGGAUUGCUGUGCGAAAGCCGGCUGUCUUUGUGUUUUUCAGUGUAUGUUUUAUAUACCCCAUAGCAUGUAUAAAGAAUGUAUUGACAGGCCUCAGUGCCUAUAAACCUAAUACAACUUUCAACAACGGAUCUCUUGGCUCUCGCAUCGAUGAAGAACGCAGCGAAAUGCGAUAAGUAAUGUGAAUUGCAGAAUUCAGUGAAUCAUCGAAUCUUUGAACGCACCUUGCGCUCCUUGGUAUUCCGAGGAGCAUGCCUGUUUGAGUGUCAUUAAAUUCUCAACCAUACGAGUUUGUAUGAACUUUGUAUGGCUUGGAUCAUGGGAUUUGCGGGCUUGAAUUAGUCGGCUCUCCUGAAAGGCAUUAGCAGAACUUUUGUUGCUAAUCUCUGGUGUGAUAACUAUCUACGCCAUUGUGAGGUGACAUGCUAAGGAACUGCUUACAAUCGUCUUUGCAGACAACCUUGACAAUCUGACCUCAAAAUCAAGGUAGGGGUUCCCGCUGAACUUAAGCAUAUCAAUAAGCGGAGGAAGCAUUUAUUGACUAAACUUGGUCAAGCUGCUGCUGGUCUUCGGGACAUGUGCCUGCUUGCCACCAACUUUUACCACCUGUGCACCUUUUGUAGACUGGGGAACAACUCUCAGGGUCACUCGUUGUGAGGA